rnacentral:rRNA from 1 species
AUAUCACUAAGCGGAGGAAAAGAAAUUAACUAAGAUUGCCCCAGUAACGGCGAGUGAAGCGGCAAAAGCCCAAACUGAAAAUCUUCACACCUCGUGUGACGAAUUGUAAUCUAGAGGUUGGUAGCUCAACAGGAAGUGACGCAGAAGUGUCUUAGAACGGACCGCCAAAGAGGGUGACAGCCCCGUAUGUGGUGUCGCUUCCUAACGAGCUCUGAUCCAAGAGUCGGGCAGCUUUGAAUUGCUGCCCUAAGCGGGAGAUAGACUUCUUCUAAGGCUAAAUAUAUAUGGGAGACCGAUAGCGCACAAGUA